AACCGAUUUGGUCCUAGUCCUCCCUUUGAUUUUAGCUAAGAUGAUACAUGCAAGAAAACUUCCCCACGGUGAGUAACACUUUUUGUGCCCUGAAAAGACAGCACAAAAACUACUUAAGUAUCAGGCCCAACAAUAUCAUCAGCCUAUGACACUUAGAAACUUCCACACCUGCAGUACCUAACCUUAUACAAUAAGUAAAAACUUGAUAUAGCUAUAGCGAAUAGGCCCGGCUAAUUAUGUGCCAGCUACCGCGGUUAUACAUAAGGCCCAAAUCAAAGAAAAACGGUAAAAAGGUGGCUAGACUAACUAGGAUAGAUUUUAACUUUAGCAGUAAUAAGCUUACACAGAAAAUAAAUUACAAUAAUUAACUUAAUCCUAGAAUCAAUAAAACCCCAUCGCCACGAAAGCUCAAAAAUAAACUGGGAUUAGAUACCCCACUAUAUGAGCCAUAAAACCCCUACAAACCACACCACCCGAGAACUACGAACUAAAGUUUAAAACUCAAAGGACUUGGCGGUUUUUUAGACCUCCCUGGAGGAGCUUGCUACAUAACCGAUAACCCACGAUACACCUCACCAGCCCUUGCAACUCUCAACCUGUAUACCAUCGUCGUCAGUCUACUUCACAAGAAAAGUAUGCACAAAGAAGCCUCUUCCCGACGUCAGAUCAAGGUGCAGUUAAUGGGCUGGAAGUUAGUGAGCUACAAUAAUAGAAUAAAACAAACACCAAUAUGAACGGCCAAAUGAAACACAGCCUAAAAUAGGAUUCAGCAGUAAUACUUACCAGAAAAUAAGUAUGAAGCCAAGCUCUAAAAAGCGCACACAUCGCCCGUCACUCUCGUCCGCAGAGGAGAAAAGUCGUAACAUAGUAGGCGUAUUGGAAAAUGUGCCUGGAACAUU
rnacentral:ncRNA from 1 species